rnacentral:lncRNA from 1 species
GUAAUGAGUUGGCUGCCAUUAGAAACCUUUUUUUUUUUCUAUUUUUACAGGGACUGAGGCUGGAAGAAAGAUAUUCUGUGGUAUUUGGAGUCACUACCUUAUUUUUUUGGGAAAAAAAAAGCUUUAGCUCACCUAUGUAUCCUAUGACUUAG